ensembl:snoRNA U3 Small nucleolar RNA U3
AAGACUAUACUUUCAGGGAUCAUUUCAAAAGUUUGUGACUAGAGAAGUUUCUCUGAAUGUGUAAAACUACCCUUAGGCUUUUCAAAAUGUCCAGGCU